AGCCCAGACUCCUACGGGAGGCAGCAGUGGGGAAUAUUGCACAAUGGGGGGAACCCUGAUGCAGCGACGCCGCGUGGGUGAAGGAGUACUUCGGUACGUAAAGCCCUAUCAGCAGGAAAGAAAAUGACGGUACCUGACUAAGAAGCCCCGGCUAACUACGUGCCAGCAGCCGCGGUAAUACGUAGGGGGCAAGCGUUAUCCGGAUUUACUGGGUGUAAAGGGAGCGCAGACGGCAGUGCAAGUCUGGAGUGAAAGCCCGGGGCCCAACCCCGGAACUGCUCUGGAAACUGUGCGGCUAGAGUACUGGAGGGGCAGGCGGAAUUCCUAGUGUAGCGGUGAAAUGCGUAGAUAUACGGAGGAACACCAGUGGCGAAGGCGGAUUGCUGGACAGUAACUGACGCUGAGGCGCGAAAGCGUGGGGAGCAAACAGGAUUAGAUACCCCGGUAA
rnacentral:rRNA from 1 species